rnacentral:rRNA from 1 species
UACGUAGGCAGCGAGCGUUGUUCGGAAUUACUGGGCGUAAAGAGUGUGUAGGCGGUGCUCUAAGUUCGGUGUGAAAUCUCCUGGCUCAACUGGGAGGGUGCGCCGGAAACUGGAGUGCUUGAGCGUGGGAGAGGAAAGCGGAAUUCCUGGUGUAGCGGUGAAAUGCGUAGAUAUCGAGGAGGAACACCGUGUGGUGCUAG